rnacentral:rRNA from 1 species
GGGAAGGAUCAUUGUCGAAACCUGCCUAGCAGAACGACCCGAGAACUAGUUUCAAAGCGGGGGCCGAGGGGUCCUGCGGCUCCUUGUCCCCUUUAUCUCGGGGGGGUUGCGUUGCGCUCGCGCGGCCGACCCUUCCGGGCGUACAAACGAACACCGGCGCGAAUUGCGCCAAGGAAAUUGAACGAGAGAGCGCGUCCCCGUCGCCCCGGAAACGGUGUGCGCGGGCGGCGUCGUCAUCUUCAAAUAUGUCAAAACGACUCUCGGCAACGGAUAUCUCGGCUCUCGCAUCGAUGAAGAACGUAGCGAAAUGCGAUACUUGGUGUGAAUUGCAGAAUCCCGUGAACCAUCGAGUCUUUGAACGCAAGUUGCGCCCGAAGCCAUUAGGCCGAGGGCACGCCUGCCUGGGCGUCACACGUCGUUGCCCCCCCAUCUACUCCUUCGGGAUUGCGGGGGGCGGAUGAUGGCCUCCCGUGCGCCUCGCCGCGCGGUUGGCAUAAAUACCAAGUCCUCGGCGACGCACGCCACGACAAUCGGUGGUUGCGAGACCUCGGUUGCCCGUCGUGUGCGUUCGUCGCGCAUCGAGGGCUCGAAAAAAUGCUCGGCUCCGGCUCGGCUUUCAACGCGACCCCAGGUCAGGCGGGGUUACCCGCUGAAUUUAAGCAUAUCAAUAAGCGGAGGAA